rnacentral:rRNA from 1 species
UAAGUUGGUAGUGAAAGCGUGGGGCUCAACCUCAUAUCCAUUACCAAAACUGCGAAGCUAGAGGACGAGAGAGGUCGCUGGAAUUCCCUGUGUAGGAGUGAAAUCCGUAGAUAUAGGGAGGAACACCGAUGGCGUAGGCAGGCGACUGGCUCGUUCCUGACACUAAGGCACGAAAGCGUGGGGAGCAAACGGGAUUAGAUACCCCGGUAGUCCACGCCGUAAACGAUGGAUGCUA